rnacentral:rRNA from 1 species
GGGUUGUGAGGUUAAGCGACUAAGCGUACACGGUGGAUGCCCUGGCAGUCAGAGGCGAUGAAGGACGUGCUAAUCUGCGAUAAGCGUCGGUGAGGUGAUAUGAACCGUUAUAACCGGCGAUUUCCGAAUGGGGAAACCCAGUGUGUUUCGACACACUAUCAUUAACUGAAUCCAUAGGUUAAUGAGGCGAACCGGGGGAACUGAAACAUCUAAGUACCCCGAGGAAAAGAAAUCAACCGAGAUUCCCCCAGUAGCGGCGAGCGAACGGGGAGGAGCCCAGAGCCUGAAUCAGUGUGUGUGUUAGUGGAAGCGUCUGGAAAGGCGUGCGAUACAGGGUGACAGCCCCGUACACAAAAAUGCACAUAUUGUGAGCUCGAUGAGUAGGGCGGGACACGUGGUAUCCUGUCUGAAUAUGGGGGGACCAUCCUCCAAGGCUAAAUACUCCUGACUGACCGAUAGUGAACCAGUACCGUGAGGGAAAGGCGAAAAGAACCCCGGCGAGGGGAGUGAAAAAGAACCUGAAACCGUGUACGUACAAGCAGUGGGAGCCUCUUAAUGGGGUGACUGCGUACCUUUUGUAUAAUGGGUCAGCGACUUAUAUUCUGUAGCAAGGUUAACCGAAUAGGGGAGCCGAAGGGAAACCGAGUCUUAACUGGGCGUUAAGUUGCAGGGUAUAGACCCGAAACCCGGUGAUCUAGCCAUGGGCAGGUUGAAGGUUGGGUAACACUAACUGGAGGACCGAACCGACUAAUGUUGAAAAAUUAGCGGAUGACUUGUGGCUGGGGGUGAAAGGCCAAUCAAACCGGGAGAUAGCUGGUUCUCCCCGAAAGCUAUUUAGGUAGCGCCUCGUGAAUUCAUCUCCGGGGGUAGAGCACUGUUUCGGCAAGGGGGUCAUCCCGACUUACCAACCCGAUGCAAACUGCGAAUACCGGAGAAUGUUAUCACGGGAGACACACGGCGGGUGCUAACGUCCGUCGUGAAGAGGGAAACAACCCAGACCGCCAGCUAAGGUCCCAAAGUCAUGGUUAAGUGGGAAACGAUGUGGGAAGGCCCAGACAGCCAGGAUGUUGGCUUAGAAGCAGCCAUCAUUUAAAGAAAGCGUAAUAGCUCACUGGUCGAGUCGGCCUGCGCGGAAGAUGUAACGGGGCUAAACCAUGCACCGAAGCUGCGGCAGCGACACUAUGUGUUGUUGGGUAGGGGAGCGUUCUGUAAGCCUGUGAAGGUGGCCUGUGAGGGUUGCUGGAGGUAUCAGAAGUGCGAAUGCUGACAUAAGUAACGAUAAAGCGGGUGAAAAGCCCGCUCGCCGGAAGACCAAGGGUUCCUGUCCAACGUUAAUCGGGGCAGGGUGAGUCGACCCCUAAGGCGAGGCCGAAAGGCGUAGUCGAUGGGAAACAGGUUAAUAUUCCUGUACUUGGUGUUACUGCGAAGGGGGGACGGAGAAGGCUAUGUUGGCCGGGCGACGGUUGUCCCGGUUUAAGCGUGUAGGCUGGUUUUCCAGGCAAAUCCGGAAAACCAAGGCUGAGGCGUGAUGACGAGGCACUACGGUGCUGAAGUGACAAAUGCCCUGCUUCCAGGAAAAGCCUCUAAGCAUCAGGUAACAUCAAAUCGUACCCCAAACCGACACAGGUGGUCAGGUAGAGAAUACCAAGGCGCUUGAGAGAACUCGGGUGAAGGAACUAGGCAAAAUGGUGCCGUAACUUCGGGAGAAGGCACGCUGAUAUGUAGGUGAAGCGACUUGCUCGUGGAGCUGAAAUCAGUCGAAGAUACCAGCUGGCUGCAACUGUUUAUUAAAAACACAGCACUGUGCAAACACGAAAGUGGACGUAUACGGUGUGACGCCUGCCCGGUGCCGGAAGGUUAAUUGAUGGGGUUAGCGGUAACGCGAAGCUCUUGAUCGAAGCCCCGGUAAACGGCGGCCGUAACUAUAACGGUCCUAAGGUAGCGAAAUUCCUUGUCGGGUAAGUUCCGACCUGCAC